AAAUUUUGAAGAAAGGAAAUUGUUUGGUAUAGAUUGAAACGAAUUUUGCGUUAUGAGCAUUAUUGAGAUAUAAUGUUUUUAUAUUGUCUCCAUCUACUCGGCUUUAGAUGCUUUUGAUGGUAAUUGUUUACUCACUAGGAUUAUGUAAUCUCACCCCUCUUCCUACCCAUUUUUCAAGCUCAUGACAGUUUGUUGAUAGUUGAUUAAGAUGAGAAUUAAUCCUGAAGUUGCAUCCUACACCUUCUUGGUCGAUUGGGGGCCCACAUGUCACUGUAAAAGUAAUUUUAUACUUCAGUUAUCUGAUUUAAAGUAUGUAUGAACAUAUUUAGCUUUUACACCAUGUUUUUGGCGGGUUUCGAUAUUUUCUAAGAAAAAUGACGAAAAUACCCCU
rnacentral:lncRNA from 1 species